AUUGAACGCUGGCGGCAGGCCUAACACAUGCAAGUCGAGCGGAUGAGGGGAGCUUGCUCCUGGAUUCAGCGGCGGACGGGUGAGUAAUGCCUAGGAAUCUGCCUGGUAGUGGGGGAUAACGUCCGGAAACGGGCGCUAAUACCGCAUACGUCCUGAGGGAGAAAGUGGGGGAUCUUCGGACCUCACGCUAUCAGAUGAGCCUAGGUCGGAUUAGCUAGUUGGUGGGGUAAAGGCCUACCAAGGCGACGAUCCGUAACUGGUCUGAGGGGAUGAUCAGUCACACUGGAACUGAGACACGGUCCAGACUCCUACGGGAGGCAGCAGUGGGGAAUAUUGGACAAUGGGCGAAAGCCUGAUCCAGCCAUGCCGCGUGUGUGAAGAAGGUCUUCGGAUUGUAAAGCACUUUAAGUUGGGAGGAAGGGCAGUAAGUUAAUACCUUGCUGUUUUGACGUUACCAACAGAAUAAGCACCGGCUAACUUCGUG
rnacentral:rRNA from 1 species